rnacentral:tRNA from 1 species
GAUCCUGUAGCUCAGUCUGGUAGAGCAACUGACUUUUAAUCAGUAGGUCGCGCGUUCAAAUCGCGCCGGGAUCA